AGUGCUGGUGAUUGCGGAGGGCUGGCAAAGGUGCUGCGAGGCUCUAAUGCCAAACCCUCUGAGGAAAGUCCGGGCUCCACAGGGCAGGUCGCCGGAUAACGUCCGGUGCAGGCGACUGUGAGGAUAGUGCCACAGAAAUGUUGACUUCCGAUGGCUCAUAGAUUUGUUCUUUGAGUACAGGAGAUGGUGCAACGGUGGUGUAAGAGACCACCGGCAGUAUCGAGAGGUACUGGCCAGGUAAACCCCGACCGGAGCAAGGCUACAGUUCUUUAUGAACGGGAGAAUCAAGACUGCCCGUCGCUCUCCCAAUACGCCGCUUGAGGUGUGCGGAAACGUUCAUCCCAGAUAGAUAAUCACCUAAUACAGAACCCGGCUUAUGCACGGCUU
rnacentral:RNase_P_RNA from 1 species